rnacentral:rRNA from 1 species
AUGUACCCCAUCGCCUGGGCGGUGGUUGAGAAAGAGACCAAUGAGUCUUGGGAUUGGUUUUGCUCUUUGCUUUUCAAAGAUGUUGAUGUGUAUGAUGGUAAUGGUUGGGUCAUUAUAUCAGACCAACAAAAGGGCAUCAUCAACGCUGUCCAGAAUUGGGCUCCCCUUGCUGAACAUAGGAAUUGUGCAAGACAUGUUUAUGCUAACUGGAGGAAAGAGUAUAGAAUUAAAGAUUGGCAGAAACUAUUCUGGAAUUGUGCAAAGGCUCCAUGUGUGAGUUUGUUCAACUACGCAAGGGCAAAGCUUGCAAGAGAAACUGUUGAAGGUGCAAGGGCAAUAACAAGGCUAGAUCCCAAGCAUUGA